UGGGGAAUAUUGCACAAUGGGCGCAAGCCUGAUGCAGCCAUGCCGCGUGUAUGAAGAAGGCCUUCGGGUUGUAAAGUACUUUCAGCGGGGAGGAAGGGAGUAAAGUUAAUACCUUUGCUCAUUGACGUUACCCGCAGACGAAGCACCGGCUAACUCCGUGCCAGCAGCCGCGGUAAUACGGAGGGUGCAAGCGUUAAUCGGAAUUACUGGGCGUAAAGCGCACGCAGGCGGUUUGUUAAGUCAGAUGUGAAAUCCCCGGGCUCAACCUGGGAACUGCAUCUGAUACUGGGAAGCUUGAGUCUCGUAGAGGGGGGUAGAAUUCCAGGUGUAGCGGUGAAAUGCGUAGAGAUCUGGAGGAAUACCGGUGGCGAAGGCGGCCCCCUGGACGAAGACUGACGCUCAGGUGCGAAAGCGUGGGGAGCAAACAGG
rnacentral:rRNA from 1 species